UACGUAGGGGGCAAGCGUUAUCCGGAUUUACUGGGUGUAAAGGGAGCGUAGACGGCAGAGCAAGUCUGAAGUGAAAGCCCGCGGCCCAACUGCGGGACUGCUUUGGAAACUGCCCGGCUAGAGUGCUGGAGAGGUAAGCGGAAUUCCUAGUGUAGCGGUGAAAUGCGUAGAUAUUAGGAGGAACACCAGUGGCGAAGGCGGCUUACUGGACAGUAACUGACGUUGAGGCUCGAAAGCGUGGGGAGCGAACAGG
rnacentral:rRNA from 1 species